GGAAUAUUGGACAAUGGGCGCAAGCCUGAUCCAGCCAUGCCGCGUGUGUGAAGAAGGCCUUCGGGUUGUAAAGCACUUUUGUACGGGAAGAAAAGCAUCCGGUUAAUACCCGGAUGUCCUUACGGUACAGUAAGAAUAUGCACCGGCUAACUUCGGGCCAGCAGCCGCGGUAAUACGAAGGGUGCAAGCGUUACUCGGAAUUAUUGGGCGUAAAGCGUGCGUAGGUGGUUUGUUAAGUCUGAUGUGAAAGCCCUGGGCUCAACCUGGGAAUUGCAUUGGAUACUGGCAGUCUAGAGUGCGGUAGAGGGUAGCGGAAUUCCCGGUGUAGCAGUGAAAUGCGUAGAUAUCGGGAGGAACAUCCGUGGCGAAGGCGGCUACCUGGACCAGCACUGACACUGAGGCACGAAAGCGUGGGGAGCAAAC
rnacentral:rRNA from 1 species